GACCUAGCGUAGUUCGGAAUUACUGGGCGUAAAGCGCGCGUAGGCCGUUGAGUUAGUUAAUUGUGAAAUCCCAAAGCUUAACUUUGGAACUGCAAUUAAAACUGCUCGACUAGAGUUUGAUAGAGGGAAGCGGAAUACAUGGUGUAGAGGUGAAAUUCGUAGAUAUUAUGUAGAACACCAGUUGCGAAGGCGGCUUUCUGGAUCAACACUGACGCUGAGGCGCGAAAGUAUGGGUAGCAAAGAGGAUUAGAUACCCUCGUAGUCCAUACCAUAAACGAUGAUUGCUAGAUGUUGGAAAUUAUUUUCAGUAUCGCAGCUAACGCAUUAAGCAAUCCGCCUGGGGAGUACGACCGCAAGGUUAAAACUCAAAUGAAUUGACGGGGACCCGCACAAGCGGUGGAGAUGUGGUUAAUUCGAAGAUACGCGCAGAACCUUACCAACCCUUGACAUGUCUGUCGCGAGUUUAGGAAACUAGACUUUUCGGUUCGGCCGGACAGAACACAGGUGCUGCAUGGCUGUCGUCAGCUCCGUGCCGUGAGGUGGUGGGUAAGUCCGCAACGAGCGCAACCCCUAUCUUAGUUGCCACAGGUAUGCUGGGAACUCUUAAAGAAAUGCC
rnacentral:rRNA from 1 species